rnacentral:misc_RNA from 1 species
AGGUGAAGGUAGAAGUAAAUGACAGUGAUUUGUAUAAAUAGAAAAGAGUGAAAUGCAAGACAUAUUUUGCAAACUCAGCAACACGAACCUUGUAAACGAAGAUUCAUAUCUUCAACAACUACUUGGCACCAAACCCAACAAAGACUACAAAGCAUUGCCUUGGAGCUUUCAACAUCAAGUUCUCGUGCAGAGAAGAAAGGAGGAGGAAGAAGAAUAAACAAUUGAAAAAA